rnacentral:rRNA from 1 species
AUCGGAUUGAUACUAAGCCAUGCGAGUCAUUGUAGCAAUACAAGGCAUACGGCUCAGUAACGCGUAGUCAACCUAACCUAUGGACGGGAAUAACCUCGGGAAACUGAGAAUAAUGCCCGAUAGAACAUUAUGCCUGGAAUGGUUUAUGUUCCAAAUGAUUUAUCGCCGUAGGAUGGGACUGCGGCCUAUCAGUUUGUUGGUGAGGUAAUGGCCCACCAAGACUAUUACAGGUACGGGCUCUGAGAGGAGUAGCCCGGAGAUGGGUACUGAGACACGGACCCAGGCCCUAUGGGGCGCAGCAGGCGAGAAAACUUUGCAAUGUGCGAAAGCACGACAAGGUUAAUCCGAGUGGUUUCUGCUAAAGGAACCUUUUGUCAGUCCUAGAAACACUGAUGAAUAAGGGGUGGGCAAGUUCUGGUAUCAGCCGCCGCGGUAAAACCAGCACCUCAAGUGGUCAGGAUGAUUAUUGGGCCUAAAGCAUCCGUAGCCGGCUCUGUAAGUUUUCGGUUAAAUCUGUACGCUCAACGUACAGGCUGCCGGGAAUACUGCAAAGCUAGGGAGUGGGAGAGGUGGACGGUACUCGGUAGGAAGGGGUAAAAUC